rnacentral:rRNA from 1 species
AUACGUAGGUGGCAAGCGUUAUCCGGAAUUAUUGGGCGUAAAGCGCGCGCAGGCGGUUUCUUAAGUCUGAUGUGAAAGCCCACGGCUCAACCGUGGAGGGUCAUUGGAAACUGGGAAGCUUGAGUGCAGAAGAGGAGAGUGGAAUUCCAUGUGUAGCGGUGAAAUGCGUAGAGAUAUGGAGGAACACCAGUGGCGAAGGCGACUCUCUGGUCUGCAACUGACGCUGAGGCGCGAAAGCGUGGGGAGCGAACAGGAUUAGAUACCCUGGUAGUCCACGCUGUAAACGACGAGUGCUAGGUGUCGGGGGGUCCAACCCUCGGUGCUGUCGCUAACGCACUAAGCACUCCGCCUGGGGAGUACGGUCGCAAGACUGAA